rnacentral:rRNA from 1 species
CCUACGGGAGGCAGCAGUGGGGAAUAUUGGGCAAUGGGCGCAAGCCUGACCCAGCAACGCCGCGUGAAGGAAGAAGGCUUUCGGGUUGUAAACUUCUUUUCUCAGGGACGAAGCAAGUGACGGUACCUGAGGAAUAAGCCACGGCUAACUACGUGCCAGCAGCCGCGGUAAUACGUAGGUGGCAAGCGUUAACCGGAUUUACUGGGUGUAAAGGGAGUGUAGGCGGGACUGCAAGUCAGAUGUGAAAACCAUGGGCUCAACCUAUGGCCUGCAGUGGAAACUGUAGUUCUUGAGUACUGGAGAGGCAGACGGAAUUCCUAGGGUAGCGGUGAAAUGGGUAGAGAUUAGGAGGAACACCAGUGGCGAAGGCGGUCUGGUGGACAGCAACUGACGCUGAGGCGCGAAAGCGUGGGGAACAAACAGGAUUAGAUACCCGUGUAG